rnacentral:lncRNA from 12 species
CCUCGGCCAUCCCCUCGGAGCCGUGCAGCUGACGCGCAUGGCGAAGACAGCGGCGCCUACCGAUGGGAGCAGCNGUUCUCGACUGGACCGGGUUGGUGGCCUGAAUGUAUUAGCUUCGCUGCGUUUGCCCAAGAGUUGCUUUUGCAGAAAUGCAGGAGGCCCAGGAUCCUGUGGACCUCUGAGGGGAGAAGCUGGCACAGCAGCAUGCCGGGUGGUAAGGAGAGCCGUGCUCUGGAAUCACCCUGCCCCCUUCCUGGUCUGGGUAAGUCUCUACCCACUCUGGCCUACUUUAGGGUGCUCCUCUGGAAGGGGGUGAAAGGAAUAGCACCUGCUUUAUUGGCUCACUGGGAAGAUGCCAUAAGAUGAUGCGAGGAUUGCACAGAGCACAUGCCAGUACAGAACAGGAGCUGGCUGGCUGCUUUUACUGUAGCUCAUGGUAACAGUAGACAGCCAGGGGGCCCGGGACAUAGUGGUUUGAGAAUCCCUCAAGGGUGAGUCCCAGGCUGGUGGGCUUGGUGUCCUCAGUCCUGGCACGGGGUCUGGCUGGCACAGUGGGGCCUCUGUGAAGGUUUAGAGUGGAAUUGUACAGAAGAGGCCUUGGGCCAGGCUGAGCAGAGGCUGGGAGCACCAGGAAGGACAAGGGAGCUUAGUGGAGGGCCUGGCCUUUGAUUCUUUCUCCACCGCCAUCCGCCUUCUGGGAGGCCAGGCAGGCACUCCCAUUUAGCUCCCUUUUCAUGUAUGCAGGUCAGUGUCCCUUAGCUUAUUAUUCUGUGUGUGUUUAAAUAUUUUAUUUAUUUAUUUGAGAGACAGAGAGAGAGAGAGAGAGGAGAGAGGGAGAGAGAAAGAGACAGAGAGAGAGAGAAUGAGCAGGAUGAGGGGCAGAGGGAGGACCCUGGGAUCAUGACCUAAGCAUAAGGCUUGAGCUGGAGGCAGAUGCUUAACCAACUGAGCCAUCAAGGUGCCCCCCCUCCCUUAGCUUAUUCUUAAGUAAAUAGCUACUAAUUGCCUCCUAUAUGACAGGAGCUGGGGACAUAGCGUAAACAAGUCCUACAAGAGUCAGAGUGAUUAUUUCCAUGGUUCCAACUUGAACAUUGAGUGGCAGGUUCACAUGAGCAUAUUAUUUAAAAUAAAUAAAAUAAGCAAAUAAAUAAUGGCCA